rnacentral:rRNA from 1 species
UGCAAGUCGAGCGAAGCUUUUCAGUAGUUUACUACAGAAAAUGACUGAGCGGCGAACGGGUGAGUAACGCGUGAGCAAUCUACCUUAGUUACAGGGAUAGCCCGAGGAAACUCGGAUUAAUACCUGAUAUUCUUUAUAUUUCGCAUGAAAUUAAAAGGAAAGGUCAGCCGAACUAAGACGAGCUCGCGUUCUAUCAGCUAGUUGGUGAGGUAAAAGCUUACCAAGGCUACGACGGAUAGCUGGUCUGAGAGGACGAUCAGCCACACUGGGACUGAGACACGGCCCAGACUCCUACGGGAGGCUGCAGCAGGGAAUAUUGUGCAAUGAACGAAAGUUUGACACAGCGACACCGCGUGUGGGAUGACGGAUCUAGGUUUGUAAACCACUUUCAGGAGGGAAGAAAAUGACGGUACCUCCACAAGAAGCCCCGGCCAACUACGUGCCAGCAGCCGCGGUAAUACGUAGGGGGCGAGCGUUGUCCGGAUUUAUUGGGCGUAAAGAGCUCGUAGGCGGUUCAACAAGUCGUUCGUGAAAGUUCAGGGCUCAACCCUGAAAUGUCGAUCGAUACUGUUGUGACUAGGAUACGGUAGAGGUGAGUGGAAUUCCGAGUGUAGCGGUGAAAUGCGUAGAUAUUCGGAGGAACACCAAUUGCGAAGGCAGCUCACUGGGCCGCUAUCGACGCUGAGGAGCGAAAGCUAGGGGAGCAAACAGGAUUAGAUACCCUGGUAGUCCUAGCUGUAAACGAUGGAUACUAGACGUAGGAACUGGAUUGACGGUUUCUGUGUCGCAGCUAACGCGUUAAGUAUCCCGCCUGGGGAGUACGGUCGCAAGACUAAAACUCAAAGGAAUUGACGGGACCCCGCACAAGCGGCGGAGCAUGCGGCUUAAUUCGAUGAUACCCGUAGAACCUUACCUGGACUUGACAUAUAGGGUCUAGCUAUAGAGAUAUAG